UACAGAGGUCUCAAGCGUUGUUCGGAUUCAUUGGGCGUAAAGGGUGCGUAGGCGGCGCGGUAAGUCGGGUGUGAAAUCUCGGAGCUUAACUCCGAAACUGCAUUCGAUACUGCCGUGCUUGAGGACUGGAGAGGAGACUGGAAUUUACGGUGUAGCGGUGAAAUGCGUAGAGAUCUGGAAGAACACCAAAGGCGAAGGCAGCAUCCUGGGAAGUAACUGACGCUCAUGUGCGAAAGCUAGGGGAGCGAACGGG
rnacentral:rRNA from 1 species